rnacentral:rRNA from 1 species
UACGGAGGGUGCAAGCGUUAUCCGGAUUCACUGGGGUUAAAGGGUGCGUAGGUGGGUUGGUAAGUCAGUGGUGAAAUCCCCGAGCUUAACCUGGGAACUGCCAUUGAUACUAUCAGUCUUGAAUACUGUGGAGGUUAGCGGAAUAUGUCAUGUAGCGGUGAAAUGCUUAGAUAUGACAUAGAACACCAAUUGCGAAGGCAGCUGGCUACACAAAUAUUGACACUGAGGCACGAAAGCGUGGGGAUCAAACAGG